rnacentral:rRNA from 1 species
UACGAAGGGGGCUAGCGUUGCUCGGAAUCACUGGGCGUAAAGCGCACGUAGGCGGAUCGUUAAGUCGGGGGUGAAAUCCUGGAGCUCAACUCCAGAACUGCCUUCGAUACUGGCGAUCUUGGAGUCCGGGAGAGGUGAGUGGAACUCCGAGUGUAGAGGUGAAAUUCGUAGAUAUUCGGAAGAACACCAGUGGCGAAGGCGGCUCACUGGCCCGGUACUGACGCUGAGGUGCGAAAGCGUGGGGAGCAAACAGGG